UACGUAGGGUGCGAGCGUUGUCCGGAAUUAUUGGGCGUAAAGGGCUCGUAGGCGGUUUGUCGCGUCGGGAGUGAAAACUCAGGGCUUAACCCUGAGCCUGCUUCCGAUACGGGCAGACCAGAGGUAUGCAGGGGAGAACGGAAUUCCUGGUGUAGCGGUGAAAUGCGCAGAUAUCAGGAGGAACACCGGUGGCGAAGGCGGGUCUCUGGGCAGUAACUGACGCUGAGGAGCGAAAGCGUGGGGAGCGAACAGG
rnacentral:rRNA from 1 species